GUAGGGUGCGAGCGUUAAUCGGAAUUACUGGGCGUAAAGCGUGCGCAGGCGGUUUGUUAAGAUAGGCGUGAAAUCCCCGGGCUCAACCUGGGAACUGCGCUUAUGACUGGCAAGCUAGAGUACGGCAGAGGGGGUGGAAUUCCACGUGUAGCAGUGAAAUGCGUAGAGAUGUGGAGGAACACCAAUGGCGAAGGCAGCCCCCUGGGUCGAUACUGACGCUCAUGCACGAAAGCGUGGGUAGCAAACAGGAUUAGAUACCCUGGUAGUCCACGCCCUAAACGAUGUCAACUAGGUGUUGGGAGGGUAAAACCUUUUAGUACCGGAGCUAACGCGUGAAGUUGACCGCCUGGGGAGUACGGCCGCAAGGUUA
rnacentral:rRNA from 1 species